rnacentral:ribozyme from 11 species
AGGGAGAGAAAGGAAAAGCAGCAGAAAAGAUCGAAGGUCCCCUCAUACUGAAAUGCGUCAAAAAGUCCACUCUUUUACAUAAUCAGCAUUUGUUCUUUCAGACUUUUGUACCAAUCUUUCGCAAUUUUUUUCGUCUUUUUUUUUUCAUUUCU